rnacentral:rRNA from 1 species
UACGAAGGUCCCAAGCGUUAUCCGGAUUUAUUGGGCGUAAAGAGCUCGUAGGCGGUUUGUCGCGUCUGCUGUGAAAUCCCGAGGCUCAACCUCGGGCCUGCAGUGGGUACGGGCAGACUGGAGUGCGGUAGGGGAGAAUGGAAUUCCUGGUGUAGCGGUGGAAUGCGCAGAUAUCAGGAGGAACACCGACGGCGAAGGCAGUUCUCUGGGCCGUAACUGACGCUGAGAGACGAAAGCUAGGGGAGCAAAUGGG